CCUACGUGAGGCAGCAGUGAGGAAUAUUGGUCAAUGGGCGCGAGCCUGAACCAGCCAAGUAGCGUGAAGGAUGACUGCCCUACGGGUUGUAAACUUCUUUUAUAAAGGAAUAAAGUGAGGCACGUGUGCCUUUUUGUAUGUACUUUAUGAAUAAGGAUCGGCUAACUCCGUGCCAGCAGCCGCGGUAAUACGGAGGAUCCGAGCGUUAUCCGGAUUUAUUGGGUUUAAAGGGAGCGUAGAUGGGUUGUUAAGUCAGUUGUGAAAGUUUGCGGCUCAACCGUAAAAUUGCAAUUGAUACUGGCAGUCUUGAGUACAGUGGAGGUAGGCGGAAUUCGUGGUGUAGCGGUGAAAUGCUUAGAUAUCACGAAGAACUCCGAUUGCGAAGGCAGCUUACUAAACUGCCACUGACAUUGAUGCUCGAAAGUGUGGGUAUCAAACAGGAUUAGAUACCCUUGUAGUC
rnacentral:rRNA from 1 species